UAUUUCGUUAAAUAAAUCUAGAAGUAUCCCCAAUUCCUGUAAAAAUAGUCAUCACAGCUAGAUUAGAUUUUUAAAAAAAGACAUUCCAGAACCUCUUUAAAAAUUAUUUAUUUCAUACAGAGAAAAGACAGAUAUUAUUAAUAAAAUAGGAAAACAGAGAAAGAUACCAAAGGCAAUAUAAGGAAAACUAAAGUAUUGGGAAACCUAGACAUCAGUUUUGGUAAAUUGCAACACCAUUUACAAACUGUUGUUAAAUUGUAUCCCUUGGCAUUAUUACAAAUAAAGAGAAAAUAUGAACAAUCCAAACAGUCUGCCAAAUAAAUCCAAGUCUAAUUCUGCCUCAAAGCAAUGUACAAGCAAAACAAAUGUACUCUUAUCUUCUAGAUGGCACCCAAGCCACAGCAAGCCAAAAAUGAAUUUAUAAUGUUGAAGAAAGUCACAGAGGGUAUAUCUUUCCAGGCUUGGUGUUCUCCAGCUUUAACUGAACUGGUACCAUCUUGGGAAAGUCUGGCCUAGUGAAACUACUCCCAGGUUGGUUCCCAAUUGAGAAUAGGGAAGGUGUGUCCCCCAACAAAUUCUCUCUCCCCAUUGUGACAAUCUUAUGUCAAAUAAAGCACAUUUUCCAUUACUAUUCCUUAGUCAAAAAACCAACAACACAACUUCAUUUGCACACAGCAAAAGCCAUAAUGAAAUUGUAAGCUUGCGGCUGAAAGUUAGUCUUAAAUCAAGCUUGCUAGAAAGCCAAUGCUAUCAAAAUAAUAAUAUCUGAGAAAAAUAUGUUUAGGAUGGGAACCAUCGUGAGAAAAACAAAGUGGUUUAUUAACAAUGGGUUACUCAAAAUGUACCAUAGCUGGUUACAUUCAGAGCAUACAUUAUGAACAAAACUUUUCUUCCUAGCCAAAACAGCUAUCCCAAGCCUAUAAUAUGCCAGAAUGACCUUUGUCCUAUGCCUUCAGUUUUCCUGUUGUAUGUUCCUUACUAUCAUGGUUUAAGAAAAUAACUACCAUGGGAAAGGAAUCAGUAACUUGAAAGAAUAUAUAAAUAAGAACUAAAAACAACAGGAUAUUGGUCAAUCAAUGCCUUCAGAAUGAAAUCUGGUUUACACUAAAGCAGAAUAUAGCAAUAAUGGGGUCAGGGAGAAUCAGAAUGGAUAGAAAUUGCAGAUGGUGUUAGCUGUUUCAAAAGCACAUACACAAAAAUAGAAAAACAAAACAUCUAGCAGAGAUUGAUAAGUAUUCUUUCCUGCUGGGCUUUUAAAAUGCAUAAAGGUUUGCAUAAGUGCAUGAUUAUUUUUAAUAUAGAAUGUUCACAAUUGGAUUGUGCUACCCAGUUUGAGUUGAUCCAUUCUAUGGCUCUUCUCCAUUUCAUCUAUAGAAUGGGCCUUAAAUACAUCUCUGUAUUUCACAGGCCACAGAGAGGAAGAAGAGAUCAGUUAUGUCUCUAGUGUUUGCCUUGUGACUGCUUCUCCUGCAGUGAAGAUGCUUGUAUUUUCCCAUAAGAUAAAACUCUCUUCGCUGCAGCAGAUAUGCCCACUAGUAACUAGCAAAUAAGCGGUCACAUGGUCUAGGCUAUACAUAUGCUUUUAGUAAUUACCAGCAUUUCAUCUUAUUUGAGGAGACUACAGCCUAAUUUCAUUGGUCUUCUAAAUGUCUUAGACCAGUAUUUCUCAACCUUGGCAACUUAAAACUGUACUUCAGCUGGCAAGGGAAUUCUGGGAGUUGAAAAACAUAGACUUUUAACCGUUUUAAGCCCUCUCAGACAACACAGCUCAUAACUAUGUUGGUUAGGAAAUAGAAUUACACUCUAAUAUACCAAAAAGACACUAGGUUCAAAAAUGCUAAAGUAUAUUAUAUGCAAUGCAUUAAACUGCACAACAAUGAAGUGUAUUGGUAUAUAUUGGAGUGGAAAGUACAGUCAUGCAAGCCUAUGGUUUUUUUUAAUCACAGUAAGCUGAAUAAGCCAAAAUGGCUGGGUACAUAUACAACACUCAGCAAUUAACUACAAGUUGCAAAGCACAGUUCAUUAGGUAAAAAAAAGAGAUAAAAUCAAAUUCUGACUUACUGCUAUAUAAAUCCACCAGGUAUGUUAGAGAACAUUAAUGGGAUGUAAUUUGGUCAUCAGUUGGGUUUUCAGUAAUUUAAGCAGAUUCUUGUCUGUCACCUGUUACGAGACAUUUUUUAUACGUCAAGGUCUACAUUUGGAACUAUUUGCACCCUAAAUAUCUGAGUUACAGUAUAAUUAAAGUUCUUAAGAACCUACAGAAUGUUCACAUGGAAGUGACAAUAUUUCAGUGGAAAAGUCUAAGGAAAAGCAGGCAGAUAUGGGAUCAAUUAGUUGUUCAAUUAUAGUUGAUCAAUUAGCAUAUAAACAAGUUUAUAGAUGUUUUCCAGGAGAAUGUUAUGUAUCCUGUCCUGUUCGGAAGUAUGGAUUACUAUAAUCUGAACACAUACAUUGAUAUUUAUUUUAAAGAGACUAGAUAGUACACUAAUAUUAAAAUGUAACAAAACUUGGUGGUUAAAAAAGAUCCCAAAUUUGAAGGAUAGAAGAGUUAUUUUAAAAUGGAAAAUCUUCUGAUUAAAGUGAAGCUACAGAGGCAAUUCUGCACUGUAGGAGGCCAGAAGCUUGAGCUACAAAAUACAACUAUUCUAAAAAAUAAAUAAACCCUACCAACACUUUAAACUAUACUGAGUUGAACAAUACUGGAAAUUUAAGUUCAGAAACACAGGGAAACAAGAGUCCCUCCUCAACUCUAUUCAGAAGUCCAGGUUAAUCACAACCAUCCAGAAGGAAGAGCAAUCUAAGCAUGAAGGCUGCUGAUGAACUUUCCCAAGGCAACAUCCUGAUGUAGGCAUAAAAGUCACUUAGUCAUUGACUGCAGUCACACACUAUGCUCAGACAUGGUAUGCUUAGCCACAUUUUAUUGAACAGAUCACAAUUAGAGCUUUACAAGAUAUAUCAAGCUACAAACCAAAACUAAGCCAAUUGUGAGAGCCAGAAUCAUCAAGAUCAGAGGUCAAGACCCAACAUCAGACAGGCCCAUAGCAUCAGUGGAUGAACAUCAAUGAACAGAUGCAUUCCAUCCCUUCCACUGAGACAAAAUCUGCUCUCAGGCUGGAUGUAGGGUUUGAAAUUCGGGAUUACUACAUUUACACAUGGCUUGUAGUAUGCAACUGGCAGUUAUUGAUUAUUCUAUUAUUGCCCUUUUAGUAUCUGUAAUAAAAGCAUUUUAUCAAACAUUUGUCUCUUUGAAUCCCUACUGCUAGCUUUCAAACUUGAGGAACUGUUGGGUGAAAAGCUUGAUACAUUUUUUUUAAAUUUACUAAGUUUAUAUGUUGUCCAUCUCUCUGAAGUGUGAUAUGUAAUUUAGUGCAACCAUAUUAGCUUUUGUUUCACUGAGAAUCCACUGCAUUCCUACAGUAUUGAAUUUUAAUCACCUAGGACUGUGUCUUUUCUUUCGAUGAUGUAUUCUUUUUUUCCUGGCAAUAUAUAGCUGGCUAUUCUAGUUGGGAAUUGUUAUCACUAACUAUAACUAGCUGGAGCUGUUGCACAGAAUUAGAAUAAUGAGGAUAGUGAGAAAGACCCAUCUCCAUUACUGAGAGCAGAUAUUUGCAAGGGAAAAUUUGAACAGUCCUGACAGGUGAGCAUACAUCUACUGCAAUAGCAAUGGCCAGAUAGUGGGAAUUAAUCUUUGCUUUUUUUUUUUUAGAUCUUGCUGGAAGGCAGCAUAAACUCACCUCAUUUGUUUAAAACUAUAGAAUUGGGAAAAAAGCGUGUAACCCUAAAAAUGAGUCUUACAACAUUGUUACAUAUUAUGAAUUUUUUUUUGUAUAGAGCCUUUUAGAAUGUCACUUUUGGUUUGCAAUUUAUCAUAUAUAUUUUAUAUGAUCAGUCACUGAUUAGAUAAAUCUGAGACCAAAUGUAAUCUGCUGUACCAGAUCAUUGGUUUGAUUAUGGGAUUUUCAAAAACAUUAAUGUAUUGUAUGAACCCAGCCUAUUGCGUUAUUUCAUAGUUUAGGAUAUUAUACAUAUCCAGAAAAUUUAUUAUAAUUCAGUACCCAAUCUUGGGAUGCUGUGUAAAUAUAAAUAUUGGACAGAAUGACAUAUGUACCAGUGUUUUGUAAUAUUGCCAAAAAUUUGAAAUUGAAGAAAAACAAAGUUGUUUCUUUCCAGAUAAAAUUUGAAAAUUUGGGAAAACCUGAAAUCCAUGCAAUAUUUUCUCAUGUAUUUGCUUUUUUAAAAAACACACAUAAAAAGUAUCAUUGAUAACUAAAGCCAUGGAAUUGUAUUGCUUAAGAAAGUUACUGAGAAAUUUUAAGCUUAUGUAUUCAGAGCCAAGACCCCUAAUUCCAUGAAGUUAUUGGAUUCCAAGAGAUCACAUGAAAGUUCUUGAAAUCUUUUCCUUUUUUUGUACAAAAUAUCUAACUCACAUGAAGAAUCAAUGCAAAAGAUCAACAGUUGCAGAAUAUUUGUUUCUGAUUAUUUGCAAACCAAAACCACUGCAUAUCAGCAAACAAUUCAUAAUUCCUAACUAAAAAGGUUUGACUUCUACCAAAAAGAUGUCAGUAUUCAAAGUAUAGAUAUGCAUUUGGGUAAAAAGAGCUUUCCAGACGUUUUAGCUGUCAAUUUCCAUCAACAUCUGCCAAUAAUAUCUGAAAGUAUCAGGUUGCUUAUCCUAGUCUAUUACAUAAUCAACUUCCAAUUUUGUGCAUUUUUACAUAAAAAUAUUCAUACUACACUCUGAAUAAAUCCUCUAUUUCACUCAUUUCAAAAGAGAAAAUAUUUUAUAACCUUUUGCCACCCAAAUUUUUCUAUUUUUAUUUUGGGGAGGGGGAAAUCAUCAAGUGACCAACUCAGCCCAUUCCUUUCUAUUAUAUCUCCCUGUAGCCCUCUCAUCUGUAUUUCUAAUUUCCAUUGACAUCAGUUGGUUCUUGGCUGAUUGUUUACUCUAGAUUAUACCCCUAUUAUUUGAAAUAAUACUAUUUUCUGUUUUCUCUAAAAUAUGACAUUCAUACGACUAUGAACAGGAAAAACACAGUAUACACAUGAAAAAUGUUUAAAGAAGACAGAUUAAUAAAACAACAGAUCAAUGUCUUCCUGUCUUCUUUUUUCCCGCAAACAUCUCCACAAUAUCAGCUGAGACUAAAAACCCCUAUCUCUUUCUCCUUUCAGUAUUAAACAACUUGAUUGUAUAAGAAAGAUUCAUCAGAUUUUUUUUCCCAAGACAGAUAGUUUAGGACAGACUAGGGAAUGAACAGGCUGCUGCUUUUUAGAAAGUCAAUUAACCCAUUGGUGCUUCUAUUCUCCAAUUUGGUUUUUUUCUGCCUUCAAAGAGAUGAGCAUGGCAUUGGUUUUCUUCCUUAUAGGUGCAUUUUCAUUUUUACUCAAGGAACAGCAUGACAGUACAGACUGAUUUCACUUAACAACUCCUCUGUUUAGCUAUAUGAUGGCAUGAAGAAGUAACUUUAUGACCAGUCCUUUUACUUAUGGCCAUUGCAGUAUCCCCAUAGUCACAUUUUGAGAUCCAGGUGCCUCACAACCGGUUGGCAUUUACAACCGUCACAACCUGCUGUCAUGUGAUCGCCAUUUGCACACUUCACAGGUAACUUCUGAUAAAUACAGUCAAUGGAGAAGCUGGCAGUAAAAUCAAAAGUUGUAGUGACAUAAUAUCUCACUUGACUGCC